rnacentral:rRNA from 1 species
GACGAACGCUGGCGGCGUGCUUAACACAUGCAAGUCGAGCGGUAAGGCCCUUUCGGGGGUACACGAGCGGCGAACGGGUGAGUAACACGUGGGUGACCUGCCCUCAGCUCUGGGAUAAGCCUGGGAAACCGGGUCUAAUACUGGAUAUGACUCCAUGACGCAUGUUGUGGGGUGGAAAGCCUUGUGCGGCUGAGGAUGGGCCCGCGGCCUAUCAGCUUGUUGGUGGGGUGAGGCCUACCAAGGCGACGACGGGUAGCCGGCCUGAGAGGGCGACCGGCCACACUGGGACUGAGACACGGCCCAGGCUCCUACGGGAGGCAGCAGUGGGGAAUCUUGCGCAAUGGGCGAAAGCCUGACGCAGCGACGCCGCGUGGGGA